CGCUUUCGUCACUCUCUGAAAAGGAGGUGAUAUCUUCAUCCUUGUUUGUGACAUUUCUCCUUUUCCCCCUUUCUCAAUCAGUGGUUAAUUAUUUGCACCCAAUUGAUUGCCUUUAUGUUUGUUCAAAAGUCUCAAUUCUUUUCAUUUAUAGCUUGAUAGUUCUACCGUCUACGUAUAGAUAUCAGGACAUUAUACGUUUUCUAACUUUUACUGAUCGAUCAUUAACAUACAUUCAACAAGUCAAAUAGUUUCGAGUUUUUGACGUGGGAGGUAAAACUAGAAGGCCUUUGAAUGACACGCAUUUAUUCUGAUUUUUACAUUUGUUUAGACGAAGAGUGUUCUGUGUAAGAGAAAUAAUCGUUCUUUGUUUUUUUAGUAAGAGCAGCCUUAUCGCAGUUUCUGUUGAUGGUUUUUAGCGAUAAUGGCUCAUUUAAUUAAAUCAGAAAGAAAUUAAUAGGGUGUAACCGAUCCUUUAUUCGCGACUUUCUGAACCGUUUGCAAAGGGGUUUCUGAAAGCACGUGUCAGCUUGAGAGCAAAGGUGGAAAUAAUUUUAUGAUUUUUAAUUUUUUUUCAUCUCAUAACUUUCUCUGCUUCUGUCGUGAUCUCCGCUUCUGUCGAUCUUCUUCUCAAUCUCAUCGUCUCGAUCGAUAAAAAGGAAAGAGCAACAUCGGAGAGGGCAUCGAGCGCGGCAGUUCCGUUCUGGAGAGCGGCGGGGAUGACGUACAUAACAUAAUCAAUCGCGAGAAAGUUCACUUCUCCCUCUCCAAAUGGGUUGAUGGAAAGCCCCAGAAACCAGGAGCGGAGGUAUGAUGAGGAUUCGAUCGAACAUACCUGAGUAUCUUGCGUUUGUUCGUUGUACUGUGAGAAUUGUGGAUUCGUUCUAUGAGCUUGUAAUUGGUGUUGUUGUGUUUGACUUUUUAGUAGAAUGAGUGAGUAGAGAAUGAAACUGGAGUCAUCAAUUUUUGCUCAUUCUUGUUCCGUGACUACAUGACACAAUGUUUUUUGCAUUUGAUGAGCUAGUGCAUAACUGAUUUUGUACUCUCUUUUUCCCUUUGGCCAUUUACAGCUCUGUGAUUUAUAUGAAAAUUAUUCCAUCUUUGACAA